rnacentral:pre_miRNA from 1 species
ACGGAUGAUCGUCUCCGCCAACCGUGAAUAUAAUAAGGUCGGUGGGACUUUCGUCCGUUU